CGGGGUAUAGCGCAGUUUGGUAGCGCGCUUGGUUCGGGACCAAGAGGCCGGGAGUUCGAGUCUCCCUACUCCGACCA
rnacentral:tRNA from 1 species